GACGAACGCUGGCGGCGUGCUUAACACAUGCAAGUCGAACGGAAAGGCCCUGCUUGUGUGGUGUUCUCGUGUCGCGCACGUGUGUAUAACACGUGAGUUACCUGCUCUUCACUUUGGUAUGACUUCAAGACACUGGGGCUUAUCCCGGAUAGGCGCUCCUGCUGCAUGUUGGUGGAUGGAAUUUUUCGGCGGUGGUGGAUGGACUCGCGGCUUAUCAGCUUGUUGGUGGGGUAGUGGCUUACCAAGGCUCUGACGGGUAGCCGGCCUGAGAGGGUGACCGGCCACAUUGGGACUGAGAUACGGCCCAGACUCCUACGGGAGGCAGCAGUGGGGAAUAUUGCACAAUGGGCGGAAGCCUGAUGCAGCAACGCCGCGUGCGGGAUGACGGCCUUCGGGUUGUAAACCGCUUUCGCUAGUGACGAAGCGUGUGUGACGGUAAUGAGUUAAGAAGCACCGGCUAACUACGUG
rnacentral:rRNA from 1 species